UAAAGAUUGACAGCUGCAUGGGAUAUUCCGGUCAUUUUGGGAAUCAAAGUCAAUCACUGGAUCUUCAGUCUGCCACACUGCGCUGACAGUCCUACACGGAGCCAUGCUGGUUGCAAGGGUCCUACUCAUCGGUCUGUGUUUGCUCUGUGUCCACCACAAUGAAGCAAAUGAGGAUUUCAUAUGUAAGAUUUGAUUUUACACAGUUGAUCUUUGUGGUGACAGGCUUCCUCUUCAUUCAAAAUCCAUCAACCCAGCAUACAUCGGUUGACUCAGCACCUGGGUUGUUUGUGCUUUGAACAUCAUGAUGUCAUUGCGUCAUCAUGUCGACUUCUCUUGCCAUCCACCACGAAGCACCAAGCGCGAUACGAAUAUCAACACCGGGAAAACCCGACUGGUCACCGUCUUGG